rnacentral:rRNA from 2 species
UGACACCCCGAUCGUGGUUAGUGGAGACACUUACCGUCAGUUUGGCUGGAUCGGAGACAGGUGCUGCAUGGCUGUCGUCAGCUCGUGUCGUGAGAUGUUGGNUAAAUCCCGCAACGAGCGCAACCCUCGCUCUUAGUUGCCAUCAUUCAGUUGGGCACUCUAAGGGGACUGCCGGUGAUAAGCUGGAGGAAGGUGGGGAUGACGUCAAGUCCUCAUGGCCCUUACGGGCUGGGCUACACACGUGCUACAAUGGUGGUGACAGUGGGCAGCGAGACCGCGAGGUUGAGCUAAUCUCCAAAAACCAUCUCAGUUCGGAUUGCACUCUGCAACUCGGGUGCAUGAAGUUGGAAUCGCUAGUAAUCGUGGAUCAGCAUGCCACGGUGAAUACGUUCCCGGGCCUUGUACACACCGCCCGUCACACCAUGGGAGUUGGCUUACCCGAAGGUGCUGUG